CCCACCCCCCAAGGCUAUAGCCCACCCGUUUUUGUGGUCUUUUUCCGCUGGACGAACUUGGCGCCCCGGCCUUCGGGCAGUUAUUUUUGGGCGCGGCUUUGGUCGCGGCCUAUUUUUGGUACACGGAGGCCCCUCGCAAAGUCUCGCGGCAUUCCGAGUCCGGCGGACGAAGUUGGCCAGCCCCACCCCCCAAGGCUAUAGUCCACCCGUUUUUGUGGCCUUUUUCCGCUGGAAGAACCUGGCGCCCCGGCCUACGGGCGGUUAUUUUUGGGCGCGGCUUUGCCCGCAAUCUAUUUUUGGCACACGGAGGCCCCUCGCAAAGUGUCGCGGCAUUCCGAGUCCGGCGGACGAAGGUGGCCAGCCCCACCCCCCAAGGCUAUAGCCCACCCGUUUUUGUGGCCUUUUUCCGCUGGACGAACUUGGCGCCCCAGCCUUCGGGCGGUUAUUUUUGGGCGCGGCUGUGCCCAUUGCCUAUUUUUGGCAUACGGAGGCACCUCGCAAUGUCUCGCGCCAUUCCUAGUCUGGCGGACGAAGUGGACCAGCCCCACCCCCCAAGGCUAUAGCCCACCCGUUUUUGUGGCCUUUUUCCGCUGGACGAAAUUGGCGCCCCGGCCUUCGGGCAGUUAUUUUUGGCGCGGCUGUGCCCGCGGCCUAUUUUUGGUACACGGAGGCAGCUCGCAAAGUCUCGCGCCAUUCUGAGUCCGGCGGACGAAGUUGGGCAGCCCCACCUCACAAGGCUAUAGCCCACCCGUUUUUGUGGCCUUUUUCCGCUGGACGAAGUUGGCGCCCCGGCCUUCGGGCGGUUAUUUUUAGGCGCGGCUUUGCCCGCGGCCUAAUUUUGGCAAACGGAGGCCCCUCGCAAAGUGUCGCGGCAUUCCGAGUCCGGCGGACGAAGUUGGCCUGCCCACCACCCAAGGCUAUAGCCCACCCGUUUUUGUGGCCUUUUUCCGCUGGACGACUUGGCGCCCCGGCCUUCUGGCAGUUAUUUUUGGGCGCGUCUAUGCCCAUUGCCUAUUUUUGGCAUACGGAGGCACCUCGCAAUGUCUCGCUCCAUUCCUAGUCCGGCGGACGAAGUUGGCCGGCCCCACCCCCCAAGGCUAUAGUCCACCCGUUUUUGUGGCCUUUUUCCGCUGGAAGAACCUGGCGCCCCGGCCUACGGGCGGUUAUUUUUGGGCGCGGCUUUGCCCGCAAUCUAUUUUUGGCACAUGGAGGCCCCUCGCAAAGUGUCGCGGCAUUCCGAGUCCGGCGGACGAAUUUGGCCAGCCCCACCCCCCAUGGCUAUAGCCCACCCAUUUUUGUGGCCUUUUUCCGCAGGACAAACUUGGCGCCCCGGCCUUCCGGCGGUUAUUUUUGGGUGCGGCUGUGCCCGUGGCCUAUUUUUGGCACCCGGAGGCGCCUCGCAAAGUCUCGUACAAUUCCGAGUCCGGCGGAAGAAGUUGGCCAGCCCCACCUGCCAAGGCUAUAGCCCACCCGUUUUUGUGGGCUUUUUCCGCUGGACGAACUUGGCGCCCCGGCCUUCGGGCGGUUAUUUUUGGGCACGGCUCUGCCCGCAGCCUAUUUUUGGCACACGGAGGCACCUCGCAAAGUCUCGCGCCAUUCCGAGUCCGGCGGACGAAGUUGGCCAGCCCCACCCCCCAAGGCUAUAGCCCACCCGUUUUUGUGGCCUUUUUCCGCAGGACGAACUUGGCGCCCCGGCCUUCGGUCGGUUAUUUUUUAGCACGGCUGCGUCCGUGGCCUAUUUUUGGCACACGGAGGCACCUCGUAAAGUCUCGCGCCAUUCCGAGUCCGGCGGAAGAAGUUGGCCAGCCCCACUGCCCAAGGCUAUAGCCCACCCGUUUUUGUGGCCUUUUUCCGCUGGACGAAAUUGGCGCCCCGGCCUUUGGGCGGUUAUUUUCGGCGCGGCUGUGCCCACGGCCUAUUUUUAGCACACGGAGGUGCCUCGUAAAGUCUCGCGCACUUCCGAGUCCGGCGGACGAAGUUGGCCAGCCCCACCUGCCAAGGCUAUAGCCCACCCGUUUUUGUGGGCUUUUUCCGCUGGACGAACUUGGCGCCCCGGCCGUCGGGUGGUUAUUUUUGGGCACGGCCAUGCCCGCGGCCUAUUUUUGGCACACGGAGGUGCCUCGCAAAGCCUCGCACCAGUCCGAGUCCGGAGGAAGAAGUUGAGCAGCCCCACCCCCCAAGGCUAUAGCCCACCCCUGUUUGUGGGUUUUUUCCGUUGGACGAACUUGGCGCCCUGGCCUUCGGGCUGUUAUUUUCAGGCACGGCUGCGGCCACGGCCUAUUGUUGGCACACGGAGGCACCUCGCAAAGUCUCGCGCCAUUCCGAGUCCGGCGGACGAAGUCGGCCAGCCCCACCCCCCAAGGCUAUAGCCCACCCAUUUUUGUGGCCUUUUUCCGCAGGACGAACUUGGCGCCCCGGCCUUCGGGCGGUUAUUUUUGUGCGGCUGUGCCCGUGGCCUUUUUUUUGCACACGGAGGCACGUCGCAAAGUCUCGCACCAUUCCGGGUCCGGCGGACGAAGUUGGGCAGCCCCACCCCCCGAGGCUAUAGCCCCCCCGUUUUUGUGGCCUUUUUCCGCUGGACGAACUUGGCGCCCCGGCCCUCGGGCGGUUAAUUUUAGGCGCGGCUGUGCCCGUGGCCUAUUUUUGGCACACGGAGGUGCCUCGCAAAGUCUCGCGCCAUUCCGAGUCCGGCGUACGAAGUUGGCCUGCCCCACCCCCCGAGGCUAUAGCCCACCCGUUUUUGUGGGCUUUUUCCCCUGGACGAACUUGGUACCCCGGCCUUCGGGCGGUUAUUUGGCUGUGCCCGCGGCCUAUUUUUGGCACACAGAGGCUCCUCGCAAAGUCUCGCAGCAUUCCGAGUCCGGUGGACGAAGUUGGCCAGCCCCACCCCCCAAUGCUAUGCCCACCCGUUUUUGUGGCCUUUUUCCGCUGGACGAACUUGGCGCCCCGGCCUCCGGGCGGUUAUUUUGGGCGCGGCUUUGCCCGCGGCCUAUUUUUGGCACACGGAGGCCCCUCGCAAAGUCUUACGGCAUUCCGAAGCCGGCGGACGAAGUUGGCCAGCCCCACCCCCCAAGGCUAUAGCCCACCCGUUUUUGUGGGCUUUUUCCGCUGGACGAACUUGGCGCCCCGGCCUUCGGGCGUAUAUUUUUGGGCGCGGCUGUGCCCGUAGCCUAUUUUUGGUACAUGGAGGUGCCUCGCAAAGUCUCCCACCAUUCCGAGUCCGGCGGACGAAGUAGGCCAGCCCCACCCCCCAAGGCUAUAGCCCACCCGUUUUUGUGGCCUUUUUCCGCUGGACGAACUUGGCGCCCCGGCCUUCGGGAGGUUAUUUUUGGGCGCGGCUGUGCCCGCGGCCUAUUUUUGGCACACGGAGGCGCCUCGUAAAGUCUCGCACCAUUCUGAGUCCGGCGGAUGAAGUGGGCCAGUCCCAGCCCCCAAGGCUAUAGCCCACCCGUUUUUGUGGCCUUUUUCCGCGGGACGAACUUGGCGCCCCGGCCUUUGGGCGGUUAUUUUUUACCGCGGCUGUGUCCGUGGCCUAUUUUUGGCACACGGAGGCGGCUCGCAAAGUCUCGCGCCAUUCCGAGUCCGGCGGACGAAGUUGGCCAGCCCCAACCCCCAAGGCUAUAGCGCACCCGUUUUUGUGGCCUUUUUCCGCUGGACGAACUUGGCGCCCCGGCCUUCGGGCAUAUAUUUUUGGGCACGGCUUUGCCGACGGCCUAUUUUUGGCACACGGAGGCCCCUCAAAAAGUCUCGCGGCAUUCCGAGUCCGGCGGAUGAAGUGGGCCAGCCCCAGCCCCCAAGGCUAUAGUACCCGUUUUUGUGGCCUUUUUCCGCGGGACGAACUUGGCGCCCCGGCCUUCGGGCGGUUAUUUUUUAGCGCGGCUGUGCCCACAGCCUAUUUUAGUCACACGGAGGUGCCUCGCAAAGUCUCGCGCCAUUCCGAGUCCGGCGGACGAAGUUGGCCAGCCCCAUCCCCCAAGGCUAUAGCCCACCCAUUUUUGUGGCCUUUUUCCGCUGGACGAACUUGGCGUCCCGGCCUUCGGGCAGUUAUUUUUGGGUGCGGCUUUGCACACAGCCUAUUUUUGUCACACGGAGGCACCUCGCAAAGUCUCGCGCCAUUCCGAGUCCGGCGGACGAAGUCGGCCAGCCCCACCCCCCAAGGCUAUAGCCCACCCAUUUUUGUGGCCUUUUUCCGCAGGACGAACUUGGCGCCCCGGCCUUCGGGCGGUUAUUUUUGUGCGGCUGUGCCCGUGGCCUUUUUUUUGCACACGGAGGCACGUCGCAAAGUCUCGCACCAUUCCGGGUCCGGCGGACGAAGUUGGGCAGCCCCACCCCCCGAGGCUAUAGCCCACCCGUUUUUGUGGCCUUUUUCCGCUGGACGAACUUGGCGCCCCGGCCCUCGGGCGGUUAAUUUUAGGCGCGGCUGUGCCCGUGGCCUAUUUUUGGCACACGGAGGUGCCUCGCAAAGUCUCGCGCCAUUCCGAGUCCGGCGUACGAAGUUGGCCUGCCCCACCCCCCGAGGCUAUAGCCCACCCGUUUUUGUGGGCUUUUUCCCCUGGACGAACUUGGUACCCCGGCCUUCGGGCGGUUAUUUGGCUGUGCCCGCGGCCUAUUUUUGGCACACAGAGGCUCCUCGCAAAGUCUCGCAGCAUUCCGAGUCCGGUGGACGAAGUUGGCCAGCCCCACCCCCCAAUGCUAUGCCCACCCGUUUUUGUGGCCUUUUUCCGCUGGACGAACUUGGCGCCCCGGCCUCCGGGCGGUUAUUUUGGGCGCGGCUUUGCCCGCGGCCUAUUUUUGGCACACGGAGGCCCCUCGCAAAGUCUUACGGCAUUCCGAAGCCGGCGGACGAAGUUGGCCAGCCCCACCCCCCAAGGCUAUAGCCCACCCGUUUUUGUGGGCUUUUUCCGCUGGACGAACUUGGCGCCCCGGCCUUCGGGAGUAUAUUUUUGGGCGCGGCUGUGCCCGUAGCCUAUUUUUGGUACAUGGAGGUGCCUCGCAAAGUCUCCCACCAUUCCGAGUCCGGAGGACUAAGUAGGCCAACCCCACCCCCCAAGGGUAUAGCCCACCCGUUUUUGUGGCCUUUUUCCGCUGGACGAACUUGGCGCCCCGGCCUUCGGGAGGUUAUUUUUGGGCGCGGCUGUGCCCGCGGCCUAUUUUUGGCACACGGUGGCGCCUCGUAAAGUCUCGCACCAUUCUGAGUCCGGCGGAUGAAGUGGGCCAGUCCCAGCCCCCAAGGCUAUAGCCCACCCGUUUUUGUGGCCUUUUUCCGCGGGACGAACUUGGCGCCCCGGCCUUUGGGCGGUUAUUUUUUACCGCGGCUGUGUCCGUGGCCUAUUUUUGGCACACGGAGGCGGCUCGCAAAGUCUCGCGCCAUUCCGAGUCCGGCGGACGAAGUUGGCCAGCCCCAACCCCCAAGGCUAUAGCGCACCCGUUUUUGUGGCCUUUUUCCGCUGGACGAACUUGGCGCCCCGGCCUUCGGGCAUAUAUUUUUGGGCACGGCUUUGCCGACGGCCUAUUUUUGGCACACGGAGGCCCCUCAAAAAGUCUCGCGGCAUUCCGAGUCCGGCGGAUGAAGUGGGCCAGCUCCAGCCCCCAAGUCUAUAGUACCCGUUUUUGUGGCCUUUUUCCGCGGGACGAACUUGGCGCCCCGGCCUUCGGGCGGUUAUUUUUUAGCGCGGCUGUGCCCACAGCCUAUUUUAGUCACACGGAGGUGCCUCGCAAAGUCUCGCGCCAUUCCGAGUCCGGCGGACGAAGUUGGCCAGCCCCAUCCCCCAAGGCUAUAGCCCACCCAUUUUUGUGGCCUUUUUCCGCUGGACGAACUUGGCGUCCCGGCCUUCGGGCAGUUAUUUUUGGGUGCGGCUUUGCACACAGCCUAUUUUUGUCACACGGAGGCACCUCGCAAAGUCUCGCGCCAUUCCGAGUCCGCCGGACGAAUUUGGCCAGCCCCACCCCCCAAGGCUAUAGCCCACCCGUUUUUGUGGCCUUUUUCCGCUGGAUGAACUUGGCGCUCCGGCCUUCGGGCGGUUAUUUUUGGGCACGGCUGUGCCCGUGGCCUAUUUUUGGCACACGGAGGCACCUUGCAACGUCUCGCACCAUUCUGAGUCCCGCGGACGAAGUUGGCCAGCCCCACCCCCCAAGGCUAUAACCCACCCAUUUUUGUGGCCUUUUUCCGCUGGACGAACUUGGCGCCCCGGCCUUCGGGCGGUUAUUUUUGGGAGCGUCUGCGCCCGCGGCUUAUUUUUGGCACACGGAGGAGCCUUGCAAAGGCUCGGGCCAUUCCGAGUCCGGCGGACGAAGUGGGCCAGCCCCACCCCCUAAGGCUAUAGCCCACCCGUUUUUGUGGCCUUUUUCCGCUGGACGAACUUGGCGUCCCGGCCUGCGGGCUGUUAUUUUUGGGUGCGGCUUUGCCCACAGCCUAUUUUUGUCACACGGAGGCACCUCGCAAAGUCUCGCGCCAUUCCGAGUCCGGCGGACGAAGUUGGCCAGCCCCACCCCCCAAGGCUAUAGCCCACCCAUUUUUGUGGCCUUUUUCCGCUGGACGAACUUGGUGUCCCGGCCUUCGGGCAGUUAUUUUUGGGUGCGGCUUUGCCCGCAGCCUAUUUUUGGCACACGGAGGCCCCUCGCAAAGUCUCGCGGCAUUCCGAGUCCGGCGGACGAAGUCGGCCAGCCCCACCCCCCAAGGCUAUAGCCCACCCGUUUUUGUGGCCUUUUUCCGCGGGACGAACUUGGCGCCCCGGCCUUCGGGCAGUUAUUUUUGAGCGCGGCUGUGUCCGUGGCCUAUUUUUGGCACACGGAGGCGGCUCGCAAAGUCUUGCGCCAUUCCGAGUCCGGCGGACGAAGUUGGCCCGCCCCAACCCCCAAG
rnacentral:lncRNA from 1 species